rnacentral:lncRNA from 1 species
GUCUUCUGCCGCGGCCGCAGCCCCGCGCUGUCAGCCAGCCGGAGGUGCCCGGUCCCUUCUCCGACUGCCGCUGCCGCCAUGUAUCUCUGCAGGGCCGCCUCGCAGGCGCUGGCCUCUCGCCUGAGCCGGGCUCCCUCUGCUGCGAGCCGCCUCAAGCAGCGUGGCCUACAGAGUAGUCAGUUCAUCUCGCAGCAACUACAUUGAACACGUGAAUAUUCUCCAUGAGAGAUCUCAGGGGCGGAAAGACAAACACUAAAAUACAAGGGAAAUCUCUUUCCAAACCCGAGGAAGUUAAAUACAAACAAAGGACAGUCGUUCACCAUUGCGUACCUUGCAGCCUACCUUGGGAUGACUUUAUACCUUCUAUUGUAAAACUCCGUACUUGUGAGACUAAAAGAACUACCUAUGUUUGCAAGGCCAAACCAUAUUGAGCUUAUUACUGAAUCUGCUUUGCAGAAGGCAGUUCAGAGAUUGAGAAGCUGGCUGUUUUGAAUGAAUGCACUCUAUACUUGACUGUCCAAUAAAGUGUACUGAAUGCUGAGCUUGGCUGUUAGUCUGUUCUUUGUGUAAUUGAUUUAGGUUUCUUUGGAAUAUAGCAUUCUCUUAAAGGGACAUGAUCAGGUUGUAUAAUACAAAGCUUUGAUUUCUUUGCUGAGCAACGAAUAGCCUUGUGUUUAAACCUGAACACAAAAAGAUAGGCUUGCACUAGCCUAGGAAAAACAAGAAUUAAAAUCGAUCUGUUUAGUUUUUAAACAGAAAACAAUAAAUUCUGACUAUGUCUCUUUAAGCACUUUCCUGUCUAUUCUCACUUAGAUUACACUGUAUUGCAAACUUUAUUUCCAGUUCUGUGUUUUCACAUGGUGAGUUGGUUCUAGUGGCAAACUUGGAAUGAAUACUUGGUAUAUAACUUUUCUUUUGUUAACUUGAUCUUAGUGCAUGUUUGCAUGGUGGUUGUGCAUCUUUGUUGCCUUGUGCCUUUAGUUUUUAAUGACUUGUCUCAGUUGAGUUUGAAGUAAUGCAUGACUGGGAAGCACUGGGUUUUUCAGAUUCUAGCAAUUUCGACCCACAGCAGUAUAGGCAAGUCUUUAAAGACAGAUGGAAGUUGUAAAAAGAAAAUGAUCAGCCAUAAGCAGUCAUAUCUCCAAUAAAGUGAAUGCUGACCACUUAAAA